UUGCCGCCAACCGGAGCAGUAGUGUUAGACCUUCAAGGUCUAAAGAUGGUGAUGGCGGUUUCUUAGAAAAGGUAUUUGGGAGCGUUGCAUCGGCAGGAUCAUCAACAUCAUCACCUUCAAGUUCAACCAUCACCAUCUUGUUUUCUCUUCUAAUUUUGUAUAUAAUCACCAACAAUAUUGGGCUAUUAUAACAUUGCCAUUAUUACUCAUACUACAGUAA
rnacentral:misc_RNA from 1 species